rnacentral:tRNA from 1 species
GGGCGCGUAGCUCAAUUGGCAGAGCAACUGACUCUUAAUCAGUAGGUUGUAGGUUCGAUUCCUACCGCGCUCA